UGACCGUGUUUGCUUCGAAAAGUAAAUCCGACAGCAAUAUUCUUACAUUUCGUGUGUUUCUAAUAGUUGUGCUUGCCUCUACACAAAAUGAUCUAGCCACACAAUCAUUUACACUGCGGCAGUUGAGGCUCUGCGGGUGUAAAAUGAGCCGUUUCUGCAUAAUGCUAAUAUCGCUAAUGUUAACCGGCAGUCUCUAAGAAAUAUCAAGUUUGACUAUUAUUUAUUUGUAACAAUAAUUACUAAAUUCUCAACAUAACCAGACUGUCUGGGUUAGCAAAAUAACUUGGAGAGACAUAUGCUUUUGGGUAUAAGCCACAUUUGUAUUAUUAUUUUAUAUUUGAGUCACUCAUCAGAUCUUUCCCCUUGACAAAUAGAACAGAUUCAAGUAAAAACGAAUCAACGUAUUUGCCACUUUUUAGUUCUGAAGACAAGUGGAAAGCAUAUAAUGUUUGUGUUUCUGCACGUUUUUCUUGAGUAGUACCUGCAUAAAUUCACAUCAUUCUGCUCCUUGAUGUCUUGUUUCUGUGUUUUAGUUGCCUUCACCUGGUGUUCCCACUGUGGCUUCUCUUUGUCGUGACUACAUUAAAAGCAUGUUACCAUUCGCAGUAGUCGAGUUUCCCAAUAAUAGUGUGGCAGUGAUUCCCACCAAAUGGUUUACCUCGCCAGCGGAAGAUGAGUGCUACUGGCCACCAGGGAAAGUUAAUGUGACGAAGGCAGUGAUAGACCAAAAAGAUCCUCAAAGUGACUGGAAAUUUUUUAAACUCACUGAACUUAUGAAGUUGCCCAUUCAAAAAUGUUGGAAUAUGAAGAAAAAAGCGAUGUGCAAACAGAUUCAGAGUCAAGUGACAGGUUUGGAAGAGGAAAGCGCAAGAAAAGGCAAGUAAUUAGGUCCAGUGAGGAGGAGGAGGAGGAGGAUGAUGAUGAGUUUGACAUCCACAUCAGGUCUCCAUUAUCCAGGGCCAGAGCAUCUCCUCCACAGCCUCCACCCACCCUGAGACCUGCACAGACACUUCCACCACCUCCACCCACCCUGAGACCUGCACAGACACUUCCACCACCUCCAUCCACCCUGAGAACCAGUCAGACACCACCACCUGUAACUCGCUGCUCAUUGCCUACACUGCCUCCAACUACCCUUGGUUCUAUUCGAGACAACAUGUUCAUCCGCGUUCUUUCACUGCUUGAACAAAUUAAAGAGACUCAAAAAGUCCAUGGAAAAUUACUACAAACAAUUCUUCAGCAAGGUAGCAUUGUUGGUUCAUCAAUCUUCCCAUCCACCCCAGAGGGUUUCCUGCUUAAAACCGUGGGUGAUCUGCAAUCCAUUGAACAAAAAUUGGCUGAUCAGACCUUCAUGUCCGACUUGGUUGCAGCUGUGGCAGAUAUUGGUGGGUCGACGGUGGACGAGGCCACAAGAAGAAUUAUGACUUUCCUCUUGGACAACGGUUUGUCGCGACAGUACAACCUGUUGGGCGGCAAUGGAAAACGGGAGUUCAAGGCUCUGAGGAGGUUUAAAGAAGAACGCUAUGACCUCUACAGUCACUCGUAAGGAUGGGGAAAAGGCGGUUGGGAAGUGGCUCAUUGGUACUCGGGACCGUGGAGGAGAUAGACUGGCCCGGGCAACCAAAAAUGCAACACCGGAACAAGAACCUGAAAACGAGGAAAAUUAACUCGAUAAGGCCCAUCUACGCUCACCUGGCAAAAUUGGGAAGUAACAUUUCUUAAGAUUUUUAUAAAAAGGAGACCUCAGUAUUUGAAAAAAAUGGCAAACAAAAGACUGAAAACAAACCCCCAAAAACUGCUGUAGACCAACAAGAGAGCAUUUGUUUUUCUGUCUGUAGAAUGGACCUGUCUUGUGUCUUCUAUGCAUGGAAAACCAAAAGUAACAAACAUGGUUUGAGGCUGCUUCAUACGAGAGGUGACAGGACACGAUCUGUAUUAAGAAAAGGAUGAAUAGGGUCCUAUUCUAAUCUGGAAUUUCUCAUGGUGUGCAGAAACCCUGUAUGUAUUUUACUUAAAAAGGCGGACCUUUGUUAAAGAGUUUGACAAAAUAUUUUUAUUUAUGUAUACUUUAAGUGUUUUUUGUUAUUGUUUUUUUUUUUUUUGGCCAGUUCUAAAGGUUAAUUCAAUCUGGGUAAUGUGAAUCUUGGUAAUGUAAAAUGUACAUGUGUAAUGGGAGGCGUAAUUUGAAUAUGCUUAUGUUUUUAAAUGUAUUAGUUGUUUUACAUGUUAACACGUUUUAAUAAUUGAGUGUUCAUCUGCAAUUUCUUUUGUUCAAUAUUUUAAAAUAAAAAAGCUAAUUGUA